rnacentral:rRNA from 1 species
AUUGAACGCUGGCGGCAGGCCUAACACAUGCAAGUCGAACGGUAACAGGAAACAGCUUGCUGUUUCGCUGACGAGUGGCGGACGGGUGAGUAAUGUCUGGGAAACUGCCUGAUGGAGGGGGAUAACUACUGGAAACGGUAGCUAAUACCGCAUAACGUCGCAAGACCAAAGAGGGGGACCUUCGGGCCUCUUGCCAUCGGAUGUGCCCAGAUGGGAUUAGCUAGUAGGUGGGGUAACGGCUCACCUAGGCGACGAUCCCUAGCUGGUCUGAGAGUAUGACCAGCCACACUGGAGCUGAGACACGGUCCAGACUCCUACGGGAGGCAGCAGUGGGGAAUAUUGCACAAUGGGCGCAAGCCUGAUGCAUCCAUGCCGCGUGUAUGAAGAAGGCCUUCGGGUUGUAAAGUACUUUCAGCGGGGAGGAAGGGAGUAAAGUUAAUACCUUUGCUCAUUGACGUUACCCGCAGAAGAAGCACCGGCUAACUCCGUGCCAGCAGCCGCCGCUG